rnacentral:rRNA from 1 species
GAUCCUACGGGGCGCAGCAGUGAGGAAUAUUGGUCAAUGGUCGGGAGACUGAACCAGCCAAGCCGCGUGAGGGAUGAAGGUACAGAGUAUCGUAAACCUCUUUUGUCAGGGAACAAAGGCGGGGACGCGUCCCCGGAUGAGUGUACCUGAAGAAAAAGCAUCGGCUAACUCCGUGCCAGCAGCCGCGGUAAUACGGAGGAUGCGAGCGUUAUCCGGAUUUAUUGGGUUUAAAGGGUGCGUAGGCGGGUUAUCAAGUCAGCGGUAAAAUCGUGGAGCUCAACUCCAUCCAGCCGGUGAAACUGAUG